rnacentral:rRNA from 1 species
UACGAAGGGUGCAAGCGUUACUCGGAAUUACUGGGCGUAAAGCGUGCGUAGGCGGUUUGUUAAGUCUGAUGUGAAAGCCCUGGGCUCAACCUGGGAAUUGCAUUGGAUACUGGCAGGCUAGAGUGCGGUAGAGGAUGGCGGAAUUCCCGGUGUAGCAGUGAAAUGCGUAGAGAUCGGGAGGAACAUCUGUGGCGAAGGCGGCCAUCUGGACCAGCACUGACACUGAGGAGCGAAAGCCAGGGAGC